UACAGAGGUCCCCAAGCGUUUGUUCGGAUUCACUGGGCGUAAAGGGUGCGUAGGCGGUCGGGUAAGUCUGAUGUGAAAUCUCACAGCUUAACUGUGAAACUGCAUUGGAUACUAUCCGGCUCGAGGAAUGGAGGGGAGACUGGAAUACUUGGUGUAGCAGUGAAAUGCGUAGAUAUCAAGUGGAACACCAGUGGCGAAGGCGAGUCUCUGGACAUUUCCUGACGCUGAGGCACGAAAGCCAGGGGAGCAAACGGG
rnacentral:rRNA from 1 species